rnacentral:rRNA from 1 species
GACGAACGCUGGCGGCGUGCUUAACACAUGCAAGUCGAACGGAAAGGCCCUGCUUUUGUGGUGUGCUCGAGUGGCGAACGGGUGAGUAACACGUGAGUAACCGGCCCUUGACUUUGGGAUAACUUCAGGAAAGUGGGGCUAAUACCGGAUAGGAGCUCCUCCUGCAUGGUGGGGGUGGGAAAGUUUCGGCGGUUGGGGCUGGAUGGGCGGCUUAUCAGCUUGUUGGUGGGGUAGUGGCUUACCAAGGGUUUGACGGGUAGCCGGCCUGAGUGGGUGACCGGCCCCAUUGGGACUGAGAUACGGAGCAGUAUGGUACAGUAGGCAACAGUGGGGAAUAUUGCACAGUGGGCGCACGCCUGAUGCAGCAACGCCGCGUGCGGGAUGACGGUCUUCGGGUUGUAAACCGCUUUCGCCUGUGACGAAGCGUGAGUGACGGUAAUGAGUAAAGAAGCACCGGCUAACUACGUG